rnacentral:tRNA from 1 species
CCGACCUUAGCUCAGUUGGUAGAGCGGAGGACUGUAGUGGGCACCCCUCAUGGUAAUCCUUAGGUCGCUGGUUCGAAUCCGGCAGGUCGGA